AAACAGUCCAACCUAGGAGACAAUUUGCAGAGAAGGAUAGCUAACAGCUUCAAUCCGUAGAAUACGAUUAAUCACACAGCUGCGAUAUGAACUGAACCCAGAUAGCUGUAGAGCAAGUUGAACAGUUCCUCCCCAUUAAUGAUUAACGAUUAAUGAACUGCUACAUGGGAUCAGUCAUACGAUUGUGAACCAAGAAAUCUAAUAGAUCUUUCCUGUUUGACCUGAAACACACAGGGCCAUUAAGAUGGCCCAUACCCAUUAAAAAGGAAGACUACAAGUUGGUCUUAAUAUGAACUUAACGACAAAUUCAAGAUAAUAAUAGCAGCAGAAGCGUUGAAGAUAUACCAACGCAACCAGAUUUAUUUUAACCAACCAUAAUUGCUGAAUUAUUUUAUUACAAAGAUGCAAUAAAAACCAAAAGAUCGAAACCUGAUGUUCUUAUCCUCGUCAUCAUCACCCCCUUCUCUUCUGAAAUCAUAGAUACAUCUAUCAGAUCAACAUUCAUUGGCAGUCUCAUAUUUUCAGGUAAUCUACCCUUUAAUUUUCAGCUAUGUAGCAGGAAUAGAACAAAGAGGUGCACUUAAUUCAAGGGUCUAUAACCAUGCUGGAUUCUUUAAGGGAGUAACCACAGCCUUCACUUGCAAGUAAUUGUUAAGACUGUAAAUCCCCUUUUCCCUUCCAAUUCCACUCAUCUUGUAUCCUCCGAAAGGAAUGGCGGCAUCAAAGAUAUCAAAGCAAUUGAUCCAUACUGAUCCUGCUCGUAAUGCUCGGGUCAAGAUGUUAGCAGUGUCUAUGUUCUGUGUAAACACCCCUGCAGCCAGCCCAUAGCGAGUGCUAUUUGCCCUGUGUAUAACUUCAUCAAGAUCCCUGCAAUUAUUUGAAACAUUAAUAUGACUGUAAACACCAAUCUUCUUAUACUAAGAUGCAAGACAAGGAUCAUUGCUUACCUGAACUUCAAGAUGGACUGAACUGGACCGAAUAUCUCAUCUUUUGCUAUUAGCAUUUCAUCCUAAUACAAGUACUUAUUGUCAGUUUCAUUAUCAUAAUUCAAUUUUUUGUAUAAAAUGGUUGUUAAUCAAGCAACAUACCGUCACAUUUGAGAAAACUGUGGGCUGGAUAUAGUAGCCCUUGGUGCCAAAUCUAUCUCCUCCAGUUUCAAGUGUAGCUCCACUUUGAAUACCAUAUCUUAUGUACUUCAGUAUCUUCUCAAAUUGUUCUGAAUCAACCUGCGGGCCUUGUUCAAUACCCCCUUUGAAUGGAUCACCAACAAGACGUUUUACAGCACGUGCCUUUGCUUUCUCUACGAAUUCAUCAUAAACACGCUCAUGCACAUAUGUGCGAGAGCCUGCACAACAACAUUGGCCCUGAUUA
rnacentral:misc_RNA from 1 species